rnacentral:lncRNA from 1 species
UUGAUGUGGGUUAGGAAUAGGGUUUGAGAGAGGAUAGGUUUUUUUUUUUUUUUUUUUUUGAUGAGAAAGGGUGAGGAGAAGAAGGGUGAGAUGGUCACAUGGGCUUCGAGAACUUAGUGGGCUUCCAGAAUGAAAUUUCAAUCCGGACUAGAAGACCGGAAUCAAGUUGAAGGCUAAUAGGCCAUUCCCAUUCCAGUCCGGAAUAGGAAUCCCAAACCGAUUCAUGCGAACCAAACAAAAUUAACCGGAUUUGAUCAAACCGAUUCCCAUUCCACACCCAAAAUGGAUGAACCAAACAAGCCCUUAAGGUCAAAUGUUUUAUGAUGCUCCUGCUAAUGUAACUGAAUAUGAGUAUCCGAUCCCUAGGUGGCAUACCCUAGUACCUGCGUGCGCUCGAGAUGUAAGUGGAUCAAGCACAAGCAAUAUAUUCCAUCUCCAAUAAUCAGAUGAACCUUCAAUUCGUGCUAGUCAAUUUCUUUCUUUCUUUCUUUCUUUCUUUCUUUCUUGGUAGGUUUCAUCCGUAUGUCUUAAACUCGAUGCCCCAAGAGUGAUUAAAAACGCAAACGAAAACAGGAAUUCACGCAGUUCAACUAUGCGACGACAACAAAAGAAGCUAACAGGAAAAUAAGAUCUAGGGUUGGGAUGAAACAAAUAAAGUUGCUAAAAAUACUCUAGGGUUUUCGAGCUGGAAUAGAAAUAUGGGAGGAGAGGGGCAUUACCUGGUAGAUGACGAGGACGAUGAGAGCGAUAAGGAGGAAGAAGGCGGAGAGCCAGACGAACACCAUAUCCCCAAAUCCCGUCCUCUAAGAGGCUCCCCGUAUCUCCGGCCGCCGCAGGGUUAAAAAAAAAUGAUCUCCGCCACCACGGCGGCGGGGAUCAACAACCGGAACCCUAAUGCUUCCGGCGCCCGACAGGCCAAAGCAGAGCAAAAAAUUAUAAUAAUAAUAAUAAUAAUAAUAAUAAUAAUUAAAUAAAGUAAUAGCAACAGCUGCAAAUUUUCGUUCUAUGCAGGCUUGAUCACAUAUAUGGAUCCUCACAGCGAAGGACCCCGCCCCUGAACUCGGGUUUGCCUGAUUUGCUUGGUCGGGAUCCAGGGAGGACGAGGUUUCCGCUCUCGAGAUUUAGUCGGUUUUAAUAUAUUUUUCGAUUCAGCAUUUAGCCCUCUAAAAAAAUUUUAUUUCAAAAAUGGUCCCGUCAAAAUUUAAUUUAUAAAAAUGGUUCUGAUCUUGCCAUGCGAGCGCCACGGCAGCGUCACGCGCACAGGGCUGGGGCCAGAGUAUUAAGGGCGUGUUUGGUUCGCUUCUUUUUCACCCUGGAAUCGGAAUCGGAAUGGAUAAAUCCGUUUGUAGGUGUUUGGUACGCGGGAGUUCCAUUCCGAUUCCGAUUCCCGAGUGGAAUGGGAAUCCCCCAAUCACCUCUUUUUUCAAUCCGGCCUACGAAGCCGGAUUGAAAGUUGAAUCCGGACGGAAUGAAUAUUUAUUCGGAUUAAAUUUAUUUUUUCAACUUUUUUAAUUAAAAUAUGAGUUAAAAUUUUAAAAUUAAAUAUAUAAUUUUAAAUAUUAAUUUAAACUUAAAUUAAAAAUUAAAAUUUAAUCAAGUAUUUCGAAUCUAACUUAUGAAUUUGAAUUUAAAUUAAAUUUUAAUUUAUAUA